GACGAACGCUGGCGGCGUGCCUAAUACAUGCAAGUCGAGCGAGCGGCGGACGGGUGCGUAAUGUCUGGGAAACCGCCUGAAGGAGGGGGAUAACUACUGGAAACGGUAGCUAAUACCGCACACCAUCAGAUUUGGGCAGAUGGGAUUAGCUAGUAGGGGGGGUAAAGGCUCACCUAGGCGACGAUCCCUAUCAGGUGUGAGAGGAUGACCAGCCACACUGGGACUGAGACACGGUCCAGACUCCUACGGGAGGCAGCAGUGGGGAAUAUUGCACAAUGGGCGCAAGCCUGAUGCAGCCAUGCCGCGUGUGUGAAGAAGGCCUUCGGGUUGUAAAGCACUUUCGGCAGAGAAGCGGUACCCGCAGAAGAAGCACCGGCUAACUACGUGCCAGCAGCCGCGGUAAUUC
rnacentral:rRNA from 1 species